CCUCGCUUCUUUGGAAGAGAGGAAGGGAUUUAAUUUCAAUUCAUCGGCCUCAGAUUGGUAGGACUACCCGCUGAACUUAAGCAUAUCAAUAAGCGGAGGAAAAGAAACUAACAAGGAUUCCCCUAGUAACGGCGAGUGAAGAGGGAAGAGCCCAAGAUUGAAAGCUGGCGUCUUCGGCGUCCGCAUUGUAAUCUCAAGAAGUGUUUUCCGCUUCGGACCAAGCCUAAGUCCCUUGGAAAAGGGCAUCAUAGAGGGUGAUAAUCCCGUACAUGGCUUGGAGCGCCCGAAGCUUUGUGAUACGCUUUCUAAGAGUCGAGUUGUUUGGGAAUGCAGCUCAAAAUGGGUGGUAAAUGCCAUCUAAGGCUAAAUAUUGGGGAGAGACCGAUAGCGAACAAGUACAGUGAUGGAAAGAUGAAAAGAACUUUGAAAAGAGAGUUAAACAGUACGUGAAAUUGCCAAAAGGGAAGGGUAGGAGGUCAGAGAUGCGGCCUGGGAUUCAGCCUUGCUUUUGCUUGGUGUUUUUCCCAGAUUGCAGGCCAACGUCGGUUUUGGGCACUGGAGAAGGGUAGGAGGAACGUGGCACCUCUCGGGGUGUGUUAUAGCCUCCUACUGGAUACAGCGACCGAGACCGAGGACAGCAGCGUACUCGCAAGAGCGGGCCUUCGGGCACC
rnacentral:rRNA from 1 species